UCCCGGGUAGCUCAGUUGGUAAAGAAUCUGCCUGCAGUGCAGGAGACCUGGGUUCAAUCCCUGGGUUGGGAA
rnacentral:tRNA from 1 species